rnacentral:rRNA from 1 species
AUACGUAGGUGGCAAGCGUUGUCCGGAAUUAUUGGGCGUAAAGCGCGCGCAGGCGGUCCUUUAAGUCUGAUGUGAAAGCCCACGGCUCAACCGUGGAGGGUCAUUGGAAACUGGGGGACUUGAGUGCAGAAGAGGAAAGUGGAAUUCCAAGUGUAGCGGUGAAAUGCGUAGAGAUUUGGAGGAACACCAGUGGCGAAGGCGCGUUUCUGGUCUGUAACAGACGCUGAGUCGCGAAAGCGUGGGGAGCAAACAGGUUUAGAUCCCCUGUGAGUCCACGCCGUAAACGAUGAGUGCUAAGUGUUAGGGGGUUUCCGCCCCUUAGUGCUGCAGCUAACGCAUUAAGCACUCCGCCUGGGGAGUACGGUCGCAAGACUGAAACUCAAAGGAAUUGACGGGG